UGAGGAAUAUCCGGUCAAUGGGCGCAAGCCUGAACCAGCCAAGUAGCGUGCAGGAAGACGGCCCUAUGGGUUGUAAACUGCUUUUAUACGAGAAUAAUUUGAUGCACGUGUGCGUUAUUGCAUGUAUCGUAUGAAUAAGGACCGGCUAAUUCCGUGCCAGCAGCCGCGGUAAUACGGAAGGUCCAGGCGUUAUCCGGAUUUAUUGGGUUUAAAGGGAGUGUAGGCGGUUUGUUAAGCGUGUUGUGAAAUUUAGGUGCUCAACAUUUAACUUGCAGCGCGAACUGUCAGACUUGAGUACACGCAACGUAUGCGGAAUUCAUGGUGUAGCGGUGAAAUGCUUAGAUAUCAUGAAGAACUCCGAUUGCGAAGGCAGCAUACGGGAGUGUAACUGACGCUUAAGCUCGAAGGUGCGGGUAUCGAACAGGAUUAGAUACCCUGGUAGUCCGCACAGUAAACGAUGGAUGCCCGCUGUUAGCGCCUGGCGUUAGCGGCUAAGCGAAAGCAUUAAGCAUCCCACCUGGGGAGUACGCCGGCAACGGUG
rnacentral:rRNA from 1 species